AGCGAACGCUGGCGGCAGGCCUAACACAUGCAAGUCGAGCGAGCGGCAGACGGGUGAGUAACGCGUGGGGACGUACCUUUUGGUUCGGAACCACACAGGGGGACUUGUGCUAAUACAAGAUACCGAAAGAUCGGCCCGCGUCUGAUUGGCUAGUUGGUAGGGUAACGGCUCACCAAGGGGACGAUCCCUAGCUGGUCUGAGAGGAUGACCAGCCACACUGGAACUGCGACACGGUCCAGACUCCUACGGGAGGCAGCAGUGGGGAAUAUUGCACAAGGGGCGCAAGCCGGAUGCAGCCAUGCCGCGUGUAUGAAGAAGGCCUUCGGGUUGUAAAGUACUUUCAGCGGGGAGGCGUUACCCGCAGAAGAAGCACCGGCUAACUCCGUGCCAGCAGCCGCGGUAAUUC
rnacentral:rRNA from 1 species